GCAGCAACAGUAAUGUGACGUGUCCCAGCGAACACCGCGCGAUCAGAACCAGCCGGAGCUGAUUGGUGGGCGAGUCUGUCAAUCAGAAUUCACCGGGCCAUCCCAGCUGUAAAAAAACAGCAAAAUACACUACGGAGGCUGGAAAUCCGAAACAGUGUGCUGGAGAAAUGUAGCCGGAGUGGCAACGUCCGUGGAGAGAGAAAACAGUUAAAUGUUUUCAUUUCUGAUGAAGUAUCAUUUCAGGUUCGAAACGUUAACUGUUUUCUCUCUCCACAGAUGCUGCCAUACCUGCUAAGUAUAUUCAACAUUGUUGGUUCGUUUCAGAUUUCCAGCAUCCAGUGUUUUGCUUUCACUUUAUCGUUUCAGGUUGAUAACUUUCCAGUUGAAUUGUACCACACGUCGUUGUAUUUACACAACAACUUCUCAAAACUCGCUGCAACAACUUUUAUAUAGUCUGUUUAUCAUAAUGAAAAACUGAGUCGGUUCACCAGGAAGAGGGUACAGAAUACACACCCCUAUUAUACAGUUGUUUGAGUGAAGAUGACAAAUGAGCUUGGUUUUGACAUCACCAAUCAAUCACAUUCAGAUACAAAUACUAGAAGAGUUGCAGACUUUAAGACCUCAUGUAAUCUCCUUCAGUGGAUAUGAUCUGAUCCCUAGAUCAGCCUGCAACAAACAAGAUUUGAGUGGUCGGGGAGGCGGGGAACUAUCAGUUUCAUUCUGGUGAAUUUUGUGCUUAUCAAGGUGAGGAACAUGAUUGGUGAAAAUAGAAACUGUCUAACCUUUGACAAAUAGUCCAAAGUUAGGCAUUGUACAUGUUAAAAUGUAGUUUUAUUUCUACACUGCCUAAUGCCCUUCAAGAAAUUUAAGAAUUGUGUUUAAAUUUUCUAUUUCCAUGUAAGUUAAACAAUUUCAGAGUGCAUAAAGGUUCUGGGCAAUUUUUGUGCUGUGCACUCAUCAGAAACAAGGCUGAUGUUCAAUGAACCUCACUUUUUAAUAGAUCUAUAUUUAGCUAGCAGAGGUUUU